rnacentral:tRNA from 1 species
AAGAAAAUAACAGAGUGGUUUUGUAGCUGGCUUGAAACCAGUUUGUGGGGGUUCAAUUCCUUCUUUUCUCG